UGCGUCAGACGCUACGCCGGGUGCGGGUGUGUGCGUGCGUCCUCGGGCAGCAUUCGGGCGCGCGAAGUUACAGGACUCCAAAGAGCUUGGUGGAAGAGGAAGGCCACAGACUGUUCUAGGUGGACUAGCAGAGGACACGGAGUGUGAGCAACACAGGAGUUCUGUGGCUGAUCCACUGCGCCAAGGCUGGAGACCUGAGGCACUGAGAUAUUUGCUUUUUGGAUCUGUGAUAUCACCCAAUUUAUUUAAGUUUUUGACCUCACUGUGAGGCAUGAGAGAUCUUAGUUCCCCGACCAGGGAUCAAACCUGCAUCCCCC
rnacentral:lncRNA from 1 species